AGCAGCCGCGGUAAUUCCAGCUCCAAUAGCGUAUAUUAAAGUUGUUGCAGUUAAAAAGCUCGUAGUUGAAUUUCGGGGUUAGUAGGUUGGUCAUGCCUCUGGUAUGUACUGGUCUCACUGAUUCCUCCUUCCUGACGAACCGUAAUGCCAUUAAUUUGGUGUUGCGGGAAAUUUGGACUGUUACUUUGAAAAAAUUAGAGUGUUUAAAGCAAGCUAACGCUUGAAUACAUUAGCAUGGAAUAAUGAAAUAGGACGUUCGAUCCUAUUUUGUUGGUUUCUAGGAUUGACGUAAUGAUUAAUAGGGAUAGUUGGGGGCAUUAGUAUUCAAUUGUCAGAGGUGAAAUUCUUGGAUUUAUUGAAGACUAACUACUGCGAAAGCAUUUGCCAAGGAUGUUUUCAUUAAUCAAGAACGAAAGUUAGGGGAUCGAAGACGAUCAGAUACCGUCGUAGUCUUAACCAUAAACUAUGCCGACUAGGGAUCGGAUGAUGUUAAUUUUUUAAUGACUCAUUCGGCGCCUUACG
rnacentral:rRNA from 1 species